ACCUUCUGUGGUGUAGUUGGUAGCGCCUUGGUACAGAAAUUAUGUGUCCUUGGUUCAAGCCCAGGUUGGGGUA